rnacentral:rRNA from 1 species
GACGAACGCUGGCGGCGCGCUUAACACAUGCAAGUCGAGCGAGAACCAUUCCUUCGGGAAUGGGGACAGCGGCGAACGGGUGAGUAACACGUGGGUAAUCUGCCCUCGAUUCUGGGAUAGCCCGGGGAAACCCGGAUUAAUACCGGAUAGCCUCUCGAGCUUACGAGCUCGUGAGAAAAGGUAGCUUCGGCCUCCGAUCGAGGAUGAGCCCGCGGCGGAUUAGCUUGUUGGUGGGGUAANGGCCUACCAAGGCGACGAUCCGUAGCUGGUCUGAGAGGACGAUCAGCCACACUGGGACUGAGACACGGCCCAGACUCCUACGGGAGGCAGCAGUGGGGAAUCUUGCGCAAUGGGCGAAAGCCUGACGCAGCGACGCCGCGUGGGGGAAGAAGGCCU